rnacentral:rRNA from 1 species
ACUCCUACGGGAGGCAGCAGUGGGGAAUAUUGCACAAUGGGCGCAAGCCUGAUGCAGCCAUGCCGCGUGUAUGAAGAAGGCCUUCGGGUUGUAAAGUACUUUCAGCAGUGAGGAAGGUGGGUAUGUUAAUAGCAUAUUCAUUUGACGUUAGCUGCAGAAGAAGCACCGGCUAACUCCGUGCCAGCAGCCGCGGUAAUACGGAGGGUGCGAGCGUUAAUCGGAAUUACUGGGCGUAAAGCGCAUGCAGGUGGUUUGUUAAGUCAGAUGUGAAAGCCCGGGGCUCAACCUCGGAAUUGCAUUUGAAACUGGCAAACUAGAGUACUGUAGAGGGGGGUAGAAUUUCAGGUGUAGCGGUGAAAUGCGUAGAGAUCUGAAGGAUACCGGUGGCGAAGGCGGCCCCCUGGACAGAUACUGACACUCAGAUGCGAAAGCGUGGGGAGCAAACAGGAUUAGAUACCCUGGUAGGCCAGC